rnacentral:rRNA from 1 species
AGUAAAUGUGGAGCCGUAGCGAAAGCGAGUCUGAAUAGGGCGUUUAGUAUUUGGUCGUAGACCCGAAACCAGGUGAUCUACCCUUGGUCAGGUUGAAGUUCAGGUAACACUGAAUGGAGGACCGAACCGACUUACGUUGAAAAGUGAGCGGAUGAACUGAGGGUAGCGGAGAAAUUCCAAUCGAACCUGGAGAUAGCUGGUUCUCUCCGAAAUAGCUUUAGGGCUAGCCUCAAGUGAUGAUUAUUGGAGGUAGAGCACUGUUUGGACGAGGGGCCCCUCUCGGGUUACCGAAUUCAGACAAACUCCGAAUGCCAAUUAAUUUAACUUGGGAGUCAGAACAUGGGUGAUAAGGUCCGUGUUCGAAAGGGAAACAGCCCAGACCACCAGCUAAGGUCCCAAAAUAUAUGUUAAGUGGAAAAGGAUGUGGCGUUGCCCAGACAACUAGGAUGUUGGCUUAGAAGCAGCCAUCAUU